GCUCAAGAGGAUCAAAGACCAGGAAAGUGCUGUGUAAGGAGAAGCAGGCUGUCUACAGGAGAGGCGACUGGGCUCCUCAGAUGAAAGGAAAGUGUGUGCCCUGCCACCAGGGAGGGUGCUCAAGGGCAACCCAAGUGGAACUCAGGUCCACCUUGGUGCUCAUUAAAUUUGUGUCUUCACAGCAACCCCAGAGACAGUAUUUGUGACCCUCCUGGCAUUUUUACAGGCUGAGAGAGGCCACACCAGUGAGGAGAGGGCAGGCCUCAAGCCGGAGCCACCGUCCACCAGCAUGGAGCCCUGCUGGUGAGCUCACAGAAGAGAAGAACUCGGCCAGUGGUGUCCCCUGCCCCAUGCUGGACCAUGAGCAGGUAGGUCCUGUGGGUGAGCUGUGCCAUGUAGGGUUACCAUCAGUCCCACUCACAUACCAAGUCUACCCAGCGCUGCUGGGGACCUGUGAGCAGCCACUGUCUGGCACCAGAUGUGGGUACUGAGUCAGAAAAUCAGGAGUCAUGCCUGGGAGCUGCUCCAACCUCACAGUUCCAGAACCCUGAGGAGCACAGGAAUCCAUCUGUCAGCGUACCAGGGCGGUCACAUGCCACAGUCAGUGGAAGGUGACACCAAGGCAUGACAGUCUCCUGGGAGAACUUCUGACCCAUUUGAGGAGAAUGAAAUUCUAGCAAAAAAAAAAAAAAAGGUAUUUUAUUAGAUGCGGUAAUUUCUUGCCAACUUGCUUUUGCCAAUUGCAGUUUU
rnacentral:lncRNA from 1 species